rnacentral:rRNA from 1 species
CCUACGGGAGGCAGCAGUAGGGAAUUUUGCGCAAUGGGCGAAAGCCUGACGCAGCAACACCGCGUGAAUGUUAAGCCCUUCGGGGUGUAAAGUUCUGUCAAUAGGGACGAUUUUUGACUGUACCUAUAAAGGAAGCACCGGCUAACUCCGUGCCAGCAGCCGCGGUAAUACGUAGGUGGCGAGCGUUGUCCGGAAUUACUGGGUGUAAAGGGAGUGUAGGCGGGAAAGCAAGUCAGAAGUGAAAACUAUGGGCUUAACCCAUAGCCUGCUUUUGAAACUUUUUUUCUUGAGUGAAGUAGAGGCAAGCGGAAUUCCUAGUGUAGCGGUGAAAUGCGUAGAUAUUAGGAGGAACACCAGUGGCGAAGGCGGCUUGCUGGGCUUUUACUGACGCUGAGGCUCGAAAGCGUGGGGAGCAAACAGGAUUAGAUACCCGUGUAGUC